CGCAUCUGUGCAUGCAGCAUAUCAAUAAGCGGAGGAAAAGAAACUAACAAGGAUUCCCUUAGUAACGGCGAGUGAAGCGGGAAGAGCUCAAAUUUGAAAUCUUCAAGGUUUUACCUUGACGAAUUGUAGUUUAAAGAAGUGUUUUCUGUUGAAGUUUUGGUAAAAGUUCUUUGGAAUAGGACAUCAUAGAGGGUGAGAAUCCCGUAUUUGACCAUUAUUUUCAGCUGUGUGAUACACUUUCAAAGAGUCGGAUUGUUUGGGAAUGCAGUCCAAAAUGGGUGGUAAAUUUCAUCUAAAGCUAAAUAUUGGCGAGAGACCGAUAGCGAACAAGUACCGUGAGGGAAAGAUGAAAAGAACUUUGAAAAGAGAGUUAAACAGUACGUGAAAUUGUCAAAAGGGAAGCGUUUGACACCAGUGUUGUUUUCUCGAAAAUCAAUUAAAAAGAGUUAGAUUUUGUUGUGUAUUGACCUUAACAGCUUGCAUUUCAAUUUUCUUGCUUUUUUUAAUGCACUUUUCGUUUAACAAGUCAACAUCAGUUUCUUUUGUUGUAAAAAGGUCAUUGGAAGGUGGCUUUCUUUUCGGAGAAAGUGUUUAUAGCCUUUGACUCCUGCAAUCGGAGAGACUGAGGUCUGCAGCGUAGAUCCUUCGGGGUUAGAUACAUUUGUGCUAAGUUAUAGCUUUUUAUAGACAACUUGUUGACUAUGAUUAGUCUUGUAGCUUACUCGCUUAUGCUAUUUUACCUACGCUUAGGAUGUUGACACACGCGCGUGCUCG
rnacentral:rRNA from 1 species